rnacentral:sRNA from 1 species
CUUGCCCCCGGCCCUUCUCACCAGAGGCCAUUCUUGCUGGUCAGUCACCAGGCUCAGCUUGGAGGCCACAGUCCCUACGGGGGUGUAGAGAAAUCCCCAUGCACUGCAGUGUGUCUUGGGGACCUUUCUCCUGUGAAGAUGCAGAAUGGUGCUGACUGGCUCUUUCCCCCCCAGCUCUACAGUCUGUUGGAGAGGAUCAACCCGGACCACAGCUUCCCUGUCAGCUCGCACUGCCUCCGAGCAGCUGCCUUCUACGUGCGUGGGCUCUUCUCCUUCUUCCAGGGACGCUACAACGAGGCCAAGCGAUUUCUGCGGGAAACUCUGAAGAUGUCCAAUGCUGAGGACCUGAACCGGCUCACAGCCUGCUCCCUCGUGCUCCUGGGCCACAUCUUCUAUGUGCUGGGAAACCACAGGGAGAGUAACAACAUGGUGGUGCCCGCCAUGCAGCUCGCCAGCAAGAUCCCGGACAUGUCGGUACAGCUGUGGUCGUCAGCACUGCUGAGAGGUGAGUGCAAUGGCCACCCCUCUUCCCCAGCCCCAGCCUGGCCCUCCCCAGAGAUCAAGGCUGCUGGUCACGUCCUGCUCAGCCUUAACUCGGACUAGGUCUGCGUGGGCCGCAGCCCCAGUUCUAGCAUGGGUAAGGGGUGCUCCUCAGGAGACCCUGGUUGAG